UCGGGAGGCAGCAGUGGGGAAUAUUGCACAAUGGGCGAAAGCCUGAUGCAGCAACGCCGCGUGAGGGACGACGGCCUUCGGGUUGUAAACCUCUUUUAGCAAGGAAGAAGCGAAAGUGACGGUACUUGCAGAAAAAGCGCCGGCUAACUACGUGCCAGCAGCCGCGGUAAUACGUAGGGCGCAAGCGUUAUCCGGAAUUAUUGGGCGUAAAGAGCUCGUAGGCGGUUUGUCGCGUCUGCUGUGAAAACUGGGGGCUCAACCCCCAGCCUGCAGUGGGUACGGGCAGACUAGAGUGCGGUAGGGGAGAUUGGAAUUCCUGGUGUAGCGGUGGAAUGCGCAGAUAUCAGGAGGAACACCGAUGGCGAAGGCAGAUCUCUGGGCCGUAACUGACGCUGAGGAGCGAAAGGGUGGGGAGCAAACAGGCUUAGAUACCCUGGUAGUCCACCCCGUAAACGUUGGGAACUAGUUGUGGGGUCCAUUCCACGGAUUCCGUGACGCAGCUAACGCA
rnacentral:rRNA from 1 species